UAAUUUACUUAGUAGGCGCGUCGCGACCGAGGUGACGGUGAGCAGGAACCCGGUGACACUCCGGGACGGUCCCGCCACCGUGACCGGUGCUGCCCCGGGAGUCGGACACUGACCCGUCGUCCUCCUGAACG
rnacentral:ncRNA from 2 species